rnacentral:lncRNA from 1 species
GUUACUGGGAAGAAAUCUUGGCAGUUUUAAUCAGCAUCUGCUGGGAAGGGGAAAGCAAACAAGACAAAACACCAGAAAACACCACAGCAUCAGAACCCAAAAGGAUGCUAUUUCUAUCGUUACUUCUCAAGGAACAGCAUCCUUUGGUGUGUUCUGGGGUAUCUACAUGUACAAAGGUGCAUCGUCAUCCUUGAGAUCAGAGAUGUAAUCUGCACCCCUCUCUGCCAGCAUGUGAAGACCUCUUCUUUCAAUCCAUGUGCUUAAGUCUUUCUCUUGCAAAAUCUGAUUGCAAAUUUUAGUACAUCUCAAGUCCUCUGGAACACAAAAAGUACACAACAACUUGUGGUAGCAAAUUGAUUUCAAUUCAAGUCAAUUCACUUUUGAGUUUUUGAAAAGACUUAUCCAUGAUACUCUUGAUUCACUGCUUAAGUUCAUUGAUUUUUUAGGUCGAACACUUAGCAGAUAAUAUCUUUGGAAAAAAAGACUACAAGAACAGUACUUUCUCAGUAUUUGAACUUGAAAUGCAUGGCAGAACAUGUGAUUGAUAUGAAACAGGUGAGCUUUCAGAAGACCAGUGCAAAAUACAUAAUCAUAUUUUAAGGUGUUUUUUUUUGUUUAUUUGUUUGUUUUUAGUUGGUAUGGUAGACCUGCCACAAUUUGUCAGCAACUUAUUGUUUAAACACUAUAAUUAAUAACAAAAGACAUAUGACUCUACAUACAAUUCUGGACUCCCUCCCAUCAUGAUUAAAGUAUAAAACAACAAACAGAAUUUCACAUGUUAUUCUUUUCCCUUGAAGAUCAAACACUACAACAUCUCUUGGAUAAAAGGAAGCUAAAUAAAAUACAGACAUGUAAUAAAAAGUGCA